UGGCGGCUGUGUAGGGACCGGUGUUGUUUAUCAGCAGUAAAAACAGCGAGGAAAACAAAGCGGCGCUGCCAGGGAAGCGAAGCGCGGUGCUGGGGCACCCCAGGAGCACCAGCCGAGGAAAGCGGCUCCAUCAGCUCCGGCAUCGGCUCUGCAUCCUGAGCGGAGCGGGGAGGGGAGGACGCAGGGGCGGCUCUGCCCAGCAGCCCUGCCCGGAGCCCCGCAGCCCCGGCCCCGCCGCCUCCUCCCUCCCUCACCAUGCUGGACAUUUUCAUCCUGAUGUUUUUCGCCAUCAUCGGCCUGGUGGUCCUGUCCUACAUCAUUUACAUGCUCUAAAGAGCCGCCGCCGCCGAAGAUGCGGCUCAGCAGCGGCCUCGCCAGCCGAGCGGCGGCCAGCCUCCGCCCGGUGCGCGUCCCUCGGAGCCUUCUGGAACAGCGUUAACCUCUGCGAGCCCGGCGCGGAGCACGGAGCGGUCACGGAGCCGGGGACGGGAAUGGGGGGACACGGGAGGGGGCUCCGAGGGGCUGUCCCGCUGCCGGGACCCGGCUAAUCCCCCUGUCAGGACCUGUGUCCUUCCCCCUGUCAGGACCCGUGUCCUUCCCGCUGCCGGGACCUGGGAUGCUCCCGGUGACGCACGCGGUGUCCCCAGGGGCAUGAGAAGGGUCCUGUCCCCUCCUUGUGUCGUGUCCCCUCGGCCCGAGGCGCUCAUCUGGGCUUAAUUUUAGGAACUGGCUUCUAUUUUUGAUGAGCGAUGUUCAGGGAGUGGAAUAAAGAGGAAUGACACAGGA